UACGUAGGGGCUAGCGUUAUCCGGAAUUACUGGGCGUAAAGGGUGCGUAGGUGGUUUCUUAAGUCAGAGGUGAAAGGCUACGGCUCAAACCGUAGUAAGCCUUUGAAACUGAGAAACUUGAGUGCAGGAGAGGAGAGUAGAAUUCCUAGUGUAGCGGUGAAAUGCGUAGAUAUUAGGAGGAAUACCAGUUGCGAAGGCGGCUCUCUGGACUGUAACUGACACUGAGGCACGAAAGCGUGGGGAGCAAAACAGGAUUAGAUACCAUGGUAGUCCCU
rnacentral:rRNA from 1 species